UGAGCAGGGAUUGUGUGUAUUGGUGGUGCGCUGCAAUUAUUACACUCUUCCUAAAGAGUUUCCAUAAGUUGGGCAGUUGUGUUUCAUCUUUACGGUUGAAAAUAACAACAAUCAUCUUCCCUACCUUU
rfam:Cicer arietinum chromosome Ca3, whole genome shotgun sequence.